rnacentral:rRNA from 1 species
AUUGAACGCUGGCGGCAUGCUUUACACAUGCCAGUCGAACGGCAGCGGGGAGGAGCUUGCUUCUCUGCCGGCGAGUGGCGAACGAGUGAGUCAUACAUCGGAACGUGUCGAGAAGAGGGGGAUAACCACCCGAAAGGGUGGCUAAUACCGCAUAAAUUCUGAGGAAGAAAGCUGGGGACCUAGGAAUAGGCCUAGCGCUUUUUGAGCGGUCGAUGUCGGAUUAGCUAGUUGGUGAGGUAAAGGCUCACCAAGGCGAAGAUCUGUAGCGGGUCUGAGAGGAUGAUCCGCCACACUGGGACUGAGACACGGCCCAGACUCCUACGGGAGGCAGCAGUGGGGAAUUUUGGACGAUGGGGGCAACCCUGAUCCAGCCAUGCCGCGUGUAUGAAGAAGGCCUUAGGGUUGUAAAGUACUUUUGUUAGGGAAGAAAAGUCAGCUGUGAAUAAUGGCUGAUACUGACGGUACCUAAAGAAUAAGCACCGGCUAACUACGUG